AACGAACGCUGGCGGCAUGCCUAACACAUGCAAGUCGAACGAAGUCUUCGGACUUAGUGGCGCACGGGUGAGUAACGCGUGGGAACCUGCCCUUCGGUACGGAAUAACGUCGGGAAACUGACGCUAAUACCGUAUAUGUCUCUGGAUGAAAGAUUUAUCGCCGGAGGAGGGGCCCGCGUCUGAUUAGCUAGUUGGUGAGGUAAUGGCUCACCAAGGCGACGAUCAGUAGCUGGUCUGAGAGGAUGAUCAGCCACACUGGGACUGAGACACGGCCCAGACUCCUACGGGAGGCAGCAGUGGGGAAUAUUGGACAAUGGGGGCAACCCUGAUCCAGCAAUGCCGCGUGAGUGAUGAAGGCCUUCGGGUUGUAAAGCUCUUUUGGCAGGGACGAUGAUGACGGUACCUGCAGAAUAAGCCCCGGCUAACUUCGUGCCAGCAGCCGCGGUAACAC
rnacentral:rRNA from 1 species